rnacentral:rRNA from 1 species
GACGAACGCUGGCGGCGUGCUUAACACAUGCAAGUCGAACGGAAAGGCCCUGCUUUUGUGGGGUGCUCGAGUGGCGAACGGGUGAGUAACACGUGAGUAACCUGCCCUUGACUUUGGGAUAACUUCAGGAAACUGGGGCUAAUACCGGAUAGGAGCUCCUGCUGCAUGGUGGGGGUUGGAAAGUUUCGGCGGUUGGGGAUGGACUCGCGGCUUAUCAGCUUGUUGGUGGGGUAGUGGCUUACCAAGGCUUUGACGGGUAGCCGGCCUGAGAGGGUGACCGGCAACAUGGGGACUGGGAUACGGCCCAGACUCCUAGGGGAGGCAGCAGUGGGGAAUAUGGCACAAUGGGCGGAAGCCUGAUGCAGCAACGCCGCGGGCGGGAGGACGGCCUUCGGGUUGUAAACCGCUUUCGCCUGUGACGAAGCGUGAGUGACGGUAAUGGGUAAAGAAGCACCGGCUAACUACGU